rnacentral:rRNA from 1 species
CACGGGGAAACUCACCAGGUCCAGACACAUUAAGGAUUGACAGAUUGAGAGCUCUUUCUUGAUUAUGUGGGUGGUGGUGCAUGGCCGUUCUUAGUUGGUGGAGUGAUUUGUCUGCUUAAUUGCGAUAACGAACGAGACCUUAACCUGCUAAAUAGCCAGGCUAGCUUUUGCUGGUCGCCGGCUUCUUAGAGGGACUAUCGGCUCAAGCCGAUGGAAGUUUGAGGCAAUAACAGGUCUGUGAUGCCCUUAGAUGUUCUGGGCCGCACGCGCGCUACACUGACAGAGCCAACGAGUAUAAACCUUAACCGAGAGGUUUGGGUAAUCUUGUUAAACUCUGUCGUGCUGGGGAUAGGGCAUUGCAAUUAUUGCCCUUCAACGAGGAAUAUCUAGUAAGCGCAAGUCAUCAGCUUGCGUUGAUUACGUCCCUGCCCUUUGUACACACCGCCCGUCGCUACUACCGAUUGAAUGGCUCAGUGAGGCCUUCGGACUGGCUCCAGGAG